rnacentral:rRNA from 1 species
ACGAUGUCUACUAGUUGUCGGGUUUUAAUUAACUUGGUAACGCAGCUAACGCGUGAAGUAGACCGCCUGGGGAGUACGGUCGCAAGAUUAAAACUCAAAGGAAUUGACGGGGACCCGCACAAGCGGUGGAUGAUGAGGAUUAAUUCGAUGCAACGCGAAAAACCUUACCUACCCUUGACAUGUACGGAAGCCACGAGAGAUCGAGGUGUGCUCGAAAGAGAGCCGUAACACAGGUGCUGCAUGGCUGUCGUCAGCUCGUGUCGUGAGAUGUUGGGUUAAGUCCCGCAACGAGCGCAACCCUUGUCAUUGGUUGCUACGAAAGAGCACUCUAAUGAGACUGCCGGUGACAAACCGGAGGAAGGUGGGGAUGACGUCAAGUCCUCAUGGCCCUUAUGGGUAGGGCUUCACACGUCAUACAAUGGUACAUACAGAGGGCCGCCAACCCGCGAGGGGGAGCUAAUCCCAGAAAGUGUAUCGUAGUCCGGAUUGUAGUCUGCAACUCGACUACAUGAAGUUGGAAUCGCUAGUAAUCGCGGAUCAGCAUGUCGCGGUGAAUACGUUCCCGGGUCUUGUACACACCGCCCGUCACACCAUGGGAGCGGGUUUUACCAGAAGUAGGUAGCUUAACCGCAAGGGGGGCGCUUACCACGGUAGGAUUCGUGACUGGGGUGAAGUCGUAA